rnacentral:rRNA from 1 species
UGCAGUCGAACGAGAAAGGGGCUUCGGCCCUGAGUAAAGUGGCGCACGGGUGAGUAACACGUGGGUAACUUGCCUCUAAGAUUGGGAUAACCUGUCGAAAGACGGGCUAAUACCGGAUAAGACCACAGUUUCUCCGGGAACAGGGGUCAAAGGUAGCCUCUGCAUGCAAGCUAUCACUUAGAGAUGGGCCUGCGUACCAUUAGCUAGUUGGUAGGGUAACGGCCUACCAAGGCAAAGAUGGUUAGCUGGUCUGAGAGGAUGAUCAGCCACACUGGAACUGAGACACGGUCCAGACUCCUACGGGAGGCAGCAGUGGGGAAUAUUGCGCAAUGGGCGAAAGCCUGACGCAGCAACGCCGCGUGAGUGAUGAAGGCCUUCGGGUCGUAAAGCUCUGUCGGAGGGAACGAAUGCUCUGAAGGUUAACAGCCUUCGGAAGUGACGGUACCCUCAAAGGAAGCACCGGCUAACUCUGUGCCAGCAGCCGCGGUAAUACAGAGGGUGCAAGCGUUGUUCGGAAUCAUUGGUCGUAAAGGGCGUGUAGGCGGUUUGUUAAGUCAUGUGUGAAAUCCCCCGGCUCAACCGGGGAACGACGCAUGAAACUGGCAAGCUAGAGUACCAAAGAGG